ensembl:snRNA U2 U2 spliceosomal RNA
AUUGCGUCUUAGUCUUUUGACUAAGAUCAAGUGAUCUGUUCUUACCAGUUUAAUUAUCUGCUCUGUCCUUGACAGCCAGUGUGGUAUAGUAGGUAGAGUGUUGUACUAGAGCUCUGGAGAACUGGGAUUUAGUUCCCACCAGGACAUGAAGUUCACUGGGUGAUUUUAGACCAGCCACUGACUUUCAACCUAA